rnacentral:rRNA from 1 species
AGAGUUUGAUCCUGGCUCAGGAUGAACGCUGGCGGCGUGCCUAAUACAUGCAAGUCGAGCGAACAGAUAAGGAGCUUGCUCCUUUGAAGUUAGCGGCGGACGGGUGAGUAACACGUGGGUAACCUACCUAUAAGACUGGGAUAACUUCGGGAAACCGGAGCUAAUACCGGAUAACAUUUAGAACCGCAUGGUUCUAAAGUGAAAGAUGGUUUUGCUAUCACUUAUAGAUGGACCCGCGCCGUAUUAGCUAGUUGGUAAGGUAACGGCUUACCAAGGCGACGAUACGUAGCCGACCUGAGAGGGUGAUCGGCCACACUGGAACUGAGACACGGUCCAGACUCCUACGGGAGGCAGCAGUAGGGAAUCUUCCGCAAUGGGCGAAAGCCUGACGGAGCAACGCCGCGUGAGUGAUGAAGGGUUUCGGCUCGUAAAACUCUGUUAUUAGGGAAGAACAAAUGUAUAAGUAACUGUGCACAUCUUGACGGUACCUAAUCAGAAAGCCACGGCUAACUACGUG